rnacentral:rRNA from 1 species
AACGAACGCUGGCGGCGUGGUUAAGACAUGCAAGUCGUACGGUGCGUUGUAGCAAUAUGACGUACAGUGGCGGACGGGUGAGUAAUGCAUGGGUAAUGUAUCCCGGGCACAGGAAUAGCGUCGGGUCCCGAAAGGGAUCCUUUGCGAAAGUGACGGUAAUACCUGAUGAAGCCGUUGGGGGGAUGCCUCCGACGGCCAAAGGUGGGGACCGCAAGGCCUAUCGGCCUGGGAGCAGCUCAUGUCCUAUCAGCCAGUUGGUAGGGUAACGGCCUACCAAAGCAUUGACGGGUAGCCGGUCUGAGAGGACGAUCGGCCACAUCGGGACUGAGACACU